UCGGGUAUAAUUCAGCAGCGAGGUAUAGAGUUCCUACGUGCUUUGGUUACUGUAGGAACUUCAUACCGUGCUCUUGGAUGUGCCUAAUUCA
rnacentral:pre_miRNA from 16 species